GUAAAAGAAACAAACCAACAAAUAAUAUUAUAAAUAAAAUAAAUUUAUAAGACACAAUCCGCGCGAAGCGCGGAAAAAAUCUCUAGUAUAUAUAUAUAUUAUAUAUUUGCAAAUUAUUGGAUCAUAUGGAGAUUGGAAAUAUUAUUCACUGCCUCACUGAUAUGUGGUGCUUAUCGGUGAUGCUUUGUGGGAUCUGUCCAGUCAAACUCCUCUUAUCAUAACAUAUCGGUCUUAUUUUUUCAUGGCCGUGAAAUAAUGAGAUAUGUUCUAUUGAUUUGAGUUUUCAUCUUCUAUUAUAUGGGCUAUACCGUGUCAAUCCAUACUUAGCCGAUAGGCUGUACCGUGUCAAUACAUACUCAAGUACUAAUCUAUUAUAAAAAUUCUUCCCAUUAUUAGCAUAUAUGAAAAUGUGCAAAUAUAUCUAUUAAUAUUUUUGCUAAAAGAUUCUUAGUAGAUGAUUGUCCAGAAAAAGUAUUAUAUCAGCAAAUACGGAAAUUUCAUUUAUAGUCAAAAUUAAAAAAGGUAUUAAACUGAAACCUUUUGACAUUAAUUCAUAUAAAUAGAACUUAUCAUGGGAACAGCAAAUAUUAACAGAUGUUCCUCUCGAUAGAAACAAAAGCUAGAAGAAAUAUAUAAUGACUAUCACAAAAACCUCUGUGACUUUUUUUCUUGUAACAAUAUUGGCAAUUUUAAUGUCCAACAAUAGUGUUGUGGCCGCAUCAGGGCCACCAAAUUGCAAAGCUCAGUGUGUGCCAGGAAAGUACGGACUUCAUGAAUGUAUCUAUGACUGUAUAGUGGCUGGGUACGACUAUGGAACGUGUAAUCCGAACCCUACUGGAAAAUGUUGUUGUGCCUACGAGGGCCAUGACCGAUAAAAACUGAUCUUAUGUAUUCUUAUAAUUGGUGAUUUGACGAUGGAUUAUGUUGUUCUUAGUAUUAUGUUUAAAAGGUGACUUUUUCUAUUGUUCUUUCUCAAUUUUAUUUGGUAAUAAAUUUAGCGAAACAAACUAA